CUCCCUCACAGCCAUGGCUCCAGACCUGGGGGUUCUGCAGCCUUGGUGCACCUUUGUCCUGCUCCCCUUGAUGCCUUUUGGGGCUCCCUAGAAACAGAGGCCAGACAAAAUUAAGGGAAUAAAAAGAGGUUCUCUUUAUUAAAUGGCCUUCAGGUACAUUUAGGGCAGACAGAGCCUCCCAGGGCCUACAACCAAAAUGGACAAUGGGUCACAGGAUUUCACACUUUUAUAAGUUUGAUCUGUUUGCAUAUUGGGGGUUAAUCUUCCAAUUACAGCUUUAGGUAAUGAAGUAAUUUACCACAAGUUUUCUCCCCACAACUCACUUUUAGUUACAUCUCUCAAGGCCUGAGGCAGUGAGGUGUCCUUGAUUCCCAGGCCCGGAGAGGAAUUGUUGUGUCUGACCAAAAUGGGAAAGCAGCAGCUCACACUGUAUAUGGAGUUUAGAGUUAUACACUAAAGAACUGCAGGAUUACAUAUAGAUGAAAAAUAGAAAACAGCUACAAUCCUAAGGCAUCACCCUUCUGCUGAAAACGUAACUCACAAAGGGCACACUGAGUGUCAGUUCAGACCAGUGUCCCCAAAGUACCAGGCACUGAAGGGAAAAAUUUUAUAUCUAUUUUGUUCUCCCUCCUUGCCCUGAAUUGUUCCUUACUAAAAAGAAGCAUUUCUUAGUUUCUCUCCAGGCCUUCCUUUCCAGCCACUAGCACAGAAAUUUGACUUUUGGCAGAGUUCAGGCCACCACCCUCUCCUCAGCACACACAUAAGGGCUCAGGUUGGUGUAUCUCCAGCAGCUCAGACCACAAAACAAACAGAAAUUCUCAUGUAAGUCCUCCAGGCCUUCAAGGCUUUAAGAGUAAUACUGGAGGACUCACCAAGACAGGAGAUAAAAGCAUUAUAUCAAUUGCAGAACAAUUACAUUCCAUUUCUUUGCCAAUUUAAAUGCAGCACAAUUCAAGGGUCCUGCCUGAAGAGCUGACAGUUUUACCUGGCCUGGCUGGCUGCAGGUUGUAUUGUGGCUCAUACAUGAUGUAUAAAUUCCAUUCAAACAAAGGAUUCUGUCUGGUCAACGUCAACUUCUUCCUCUGAAUCCUGACGGCUGAGCAAGGAUCCACACCAUGGCAGGGGAAUGCAUGGAGGAGGAAUGGCAGGGAGCUGUUUUAUCAGCUGGGGGAGGCAGAGGAGCUGGGAAUGAAGGCACAAAGGGCAAAAAAUGGGCUGGAGAGGAAAUCAGAAGUAAAGAAUGAGAUGAGUAAAAAGCAGUUAAAGAAAGGCUGAAUUUCCGAACCACUUACGUGACGGAUUCUGCCUGCAGGUGAUUCAAUGGUUCUGCACGAGGUUUUCACACCCUAAGAGCAAAAGCAAAGUGUUCAACAGUGGAACCCGAAUUACAGAGGGCACAAACCACUAGAAAAGAGUUGCAAGAAAACAAAGGAGAGCAGCUUGGUAACAAGAAAAGGUCAGUCUUCCAAAGAAGGCUGUACAAAGAAGUAAUUCUUGCUGUCUAAGUGGUGUUCCUGGAGAGAAAAGGGUUUAAGACAGAAACCAUGAAUUUCUUUUCUCUAAGCCUCAUCAUUCCUAGAACAUUAUUCUCUUUGUCUCAGUGGCUGUGGGCUGGUGGGGGGGACAAGCUCCCCACUGUCACCAUUUUCACACACAUUUCUGGUGCUGGCCAUGGCCCCACCACAGGCACUGCAGGAAGCCAGGCAGC